rnacentral:rRNA from 1 species
AGAGUUUGAUCAUGGCUCAGAUUGAACGCUGGCGGCAGGCCUAACACAUGCAAGUCGAGCGGUAGCAGUCCUUCGGGAGCUGACGAGCGGCGGACGGGUGAGGAAUGCUUGGGAAUCUGCCCGAUAGAGGGGGAUAACUACGGGAAACUGUAGCUAAUACCGCAUGAUCUCUAAGGAGCAAAGCGGGGGACCUUCGGGCCUCGCGCUAUCGGAUGAGCCCAAGUGGGAUUAGCUAGUUGGUAGGGUAAAGGCCUACCAAGGCGACGAUCUCUAACUGGUCUGAGAGGAUGAUCAGUCACACUGGAACUGAGACACGGUCCAGACUCCUACGGGAGGCAGCAGUGGGGAAUAUUGGACAAUGGGGGCAACCCUGAUCCAGCCAUGCCGCGUGGGUGAAGAAGGCCUUCGGGUUGUAAAGCCCUUUUGGCGGGGAGGAAGGGUGUGAGGCGAAUAGUCUUNCACU